rfam:Enterococcus asini ATCC 700915 genomic scaffold acvKe-supercont1.3, whole genome shotgun sequence.
GUUCGUCUUCAGGGGCAGGGUGUAAUUCCCGACCGGUGGUAUAGUCCACGACCCACUUCACGGUGGUUGAAUCGGUGUAAUUCCGAUACCGACAGUAUAGUCUGGAUAAAGAAGAUAGGG